GGGCCUCUAGCUCAGUGGUUAGAGUACUGAUCUUGUAAACCAGCCCGCAUAAGUUCAAUCCUUGCUGGGGCCUA